rnacentral:rRNA from 1 species
UACGGGGGAUGCAAGCGUUAUCCGGAAUCAUUGGGCGUAAAGCGUCUGUAGGUUGUUUAAUAAGUCUGUUGUUAAAGACUGGGGCUUAACCCCAGGAAAGCAAUGGAAACUGUUAGACUUGAGUAUGGUAGAGGUAGAGGGAAUUCCUAGUGUAGCGGUGAAAUGCGUAGAUAUUAGGAAGAACACCGGUGGCGAAAGCGCUCUACUGGGCCAUUACUGACACUCAGAGACGAAAGCUAGGGUAGCAAAUGGGAUUAGAUACCCCGGUAGUCCUAGCCGUAAACGAUGGAUACUAGACGUUGCCUUUUUAACAGUGUCGUAGCUAACGCGUUAAGUAUCCCGCCUGGGGAGUACACUCGCAAGGGUG